AUGCUAAAAAUUGAUCUUGCUAAAGCUUUUGAUAGACUUGAAUGGGACUUCAUUGUUCUUGCGCUUACUCGUAAAGGGCUGCAUGCUCAUUUCAUUAAUUUAGUGCAUGCAUGCAUCUCUUCUCCCACAUUUUCUGUUCUUAUUAAUGGGCAGCCUUCUCAUAAAUUUAAAAGUUUUCGAGGGAUUCGACAAGGCUGUCCUAUGUCCCCUUACUUGUUUGUUAUUGCCAUUAAUGAACUUUCGGUUGCUCUUAAUGAGGCAUGA
rnacentral:rRNA from 1 species